rnacentral:rRNA from 1 species
UACGUAGGUGGCAAGCGUUGUCCGGAUUUACUGGGCGUAAAGCGCGCGCAGGCGGACUGAUCAGUCUGGGGUGAAAUCUCCCGGCUCAACUGGGAGCGGUCCCUGGAUACUGUCAGUCUUGAGAGACCUAGAGGAGAGCGGAAUUCCCGGUGUAGUGGUGGAAUGCGUAGAUAUCGGGAAGAACACCAGUGGCGAAAGCGGCUCUCUGGGACGGUACUGACGCUGAGACGCGAAAGCGUGGGGAGCGAACAGG